GCUCCUGUGCUCUGACUCCUGCUUUGGCAGCGCAAGGGCUGCAACACGAGCUGGACACGAUUCAGUCAUGGCUGAAAAGGUGGAACAUCACCAUAAACGCUGACAAAUCCAUCUACGUCACGUUUACACUCAGAACAGGCAACUGUCCACCCGUCCACAUCAACGGCACCAACAUACCGUCCAAUGCGAAGGCCAAGUACCUGGGACUAACAAUUAAAUACUUGUAUUUUUUCAUAUGUUCCUCCUAUUUAAAAACCUGCAUUAGUGCUCUUAAACGAGUGUUAUUGUGGGCCGGUACUAUUACCUUGAACAAAUUAGAGUGAAAUAAGACCUCUGUUCUGCUUUCAUUGGUUUUCAGAUCAAGAGGUAAUGAUUAAUAGAAGCAGUUUGGGGGCAUUAGUAUUACGACGCGAGAGGUGAAAUUCUUGGACCGUCGUAAGACUAACUUAAGCGAAAGCAUUUGCCAAAGAUGUUUUCAUAAAUUAAGAACGAAAGAGGUUCGAAGGCGAUCAGAUACCGCCCUAGUUCUAACCAUAAACGAUGCCACUUAGCAAUUGAGUGUAGCUACUUUUAUGGCUCUCUCAGUCGCUUCCCGAGAAACCAAAGCUUUUGGGCUCCCUGGGAAGUAUGGUUGCAAAGCUGAAACUUAAAGGAAUUGACGGAAGGGCACCACCGGCUUAAUUUGACUCAACACGGGAAAAAGUGUGUAAGACAGAUUGAUAGCUCUUUCUCGAAUCUAUGGGUGAAGGUGCAUGCCGUUCUUAGUUCGUGGAGUGAUUUGUCUGGUUAAUACCGAUAACGAACGAGGCUCAAAUAUAUUAAAUAGAUAUCUUCAGGAUUAUGGGGCUGAAGCUUAUAUAGCCUUCAAUCAUGGUGGCACUAAAAUGUUUAUUGUGUUUGAAUAUGUUUAUGUAAGUGGAGCCGUACCUGUUGGUUUGUCCCAUUAUAAGGACACUAGCUUCUUAAAUGGAUAAAUUGCGUCUAGCAAUAAUGAGAUUGAGCCAUAACAGGUCUGUGAUGUCCUGGGCUGCACGCGCGCUACAAUUCAAGUAUCAACGUGUAUUUCCUAGACCGAGAGGUCCGGGUAAAUCGCUCAACCACUUUCAUGCUUGGGAUUGUGAACUGAAACUGUUCAGAUGAACUUGGAAUUCCCAGUAAGUGUGAGUCAUUAACUCGCAUUGAUUACGUCCCUGCCAUUUGUACACACCGCCCGUCGCUACUACCGAUUGAAUUAUUUAGUGAGGUCUCCGGACGUGAUCACUGCGACACCUACUUAUUUAGAGGAAGUAAAAGUCAUAACAAGGUUUCCGUAGGUGAACCUGCGGAAGGAUCAUUA
rnacentral:rRNA from 1 species